GGGGGGUGCUCAGGAUCCUGGGCUGUGUCCCCCGGCGCCCUGGGCUCCAGGGCCUGUGCUUCUGGAAUCGUGCUGCUGGGGCCUAGACUCCCA
rnacentral:pre_miRNA from 1 species